rnacentral:rRNA from 1 species
UAAAACUCAAAGGAAUUGACGGGGACCCGCACAAGCGGUGGAUGAUGUGGAUUAAUUCGAUGCAACGCGAAAAACCUUACCUACCCUUGACAUGGCUGGAAUCCUUGAGAGAUUGAGGAGUGCUCGAAAGAGAACCAGUACACAGGUGCUGCAUGGCUGUCGUCAGCUCGUGUCGUGAGAUGUUGGGUUAAGUCCCGCAACGAGCGCAACCCUUGUCAUUAGUUGCUACGAAAGGGCACUCUAAUGAGACUGCCGGUGACAAACCGGAGGAAGGUGGGGAUGACGUCAAGUCCUCAUGGCCCUUAUGGGUAGGGCUUCACACGUCAUACAAUGGUACAUACAGAGCGCCGCCAACCCGCGAGGGGGAGCUAAUCGCAGAAAGUGUAUCGUAGUCCGGAUUGUAGUCUGCAACUCGACUGCAUGAAGUUGGAAUCGCUAGUAAUCGCGGAUCAGCAUGUCGCGGUGAAUACGUUCCCGGGUCUUG